GUCCUGGCUUUACACACCAGUGGGUAGUCAUAAGCCCCAGGACACAGAGACUUUAUCAAAAACAUGAUUACAGACACAUCUCAGGCUGACUGUGCUGUCCUGAUUGUUGCUGCUGGUGUUGGUGAAUUUGAAGCAGAUAUCUC